rnacentral:lncRNA from 1 species
GAGACCGUCGCCUCUGCACAGCUUGACUACCUCAAUUAUAAAGACUACCCUCGACCUCAGGCGUGGGAUUAGACAGCAAUAAUUGGUGCUAGAGGAAGGGCCCCUAAACUUUGUUUCAGAAUUUGAUUUGAGAAGGAGAGGCUCAGCAUGAGAUCAUGAAGAAGAGCAUCAAUGCAUCUCACCAUUAAAAUGGUGUGUAGGAGAACAAUAUCUGCCAAGAGGAUGUAGCGCCCGAACC